rnacentral:lncRNA from 1 species
GGAAGGCCGGUGCUCCCACCCUUGGUGAGUCCGGGAGCGGAGCUGGGGUUCUGAGGGAAGGCGGGGCUGGGGAAGGGAGGGUCCGCUGCGAGUGAGGGCACCUGGGGGCACUGGGAGGGAGGACAGAAGGACUGGAGAGGCCCUCUGGCAAACCAGCGGGACCAGGCCUGGCUGGGGGGGGGAGGGAGUGGAGGCACGGGGGAGCUGGGGGAGCUGGGGCAGGGUGCCCCGUCGCAGGCUGAGGACUUCUGCCUCCAAAGCAGGGGCUCCUUUUCCUUCUAGAGGAGGGGCUAUGCUGUAGACCAUCUGCCUCCACCACCCCUCCCCACAAAGAAAAAAAUUCCCCAGCGACGAAGGGUGCAGGCUGGCGAGAGGAGGGAGGCAGCGGCAUUGCCGGCUGGUGCUGCAGCCUGGGAGGGCUGACGCCAGGCUUGCUCUCUCUGCAGGGGGCUGCCCUUCUCCUCAGACCAGCUCCCUUUUCAGAGCUGCCCACAUCUGGAGCCCCCUCCACAUCUGGAAGACCCCAGCCACCGUCCCUCUGCAGGUGUCAGUUGCCUCAGGAGACCUCUGGCUUUGCAACUGCCUAGGAGUUGUGAGGGAUGACUGCUGCCUUCCCCCAUCCCAAGGGCAUCUCCUACCCUUAGUCCCUGCAGAGUCAUCCCCCUGCCUCUGUGUCCAGGCUCAGCCAGAGAUCAGCUCAGCACACGUUCAGGCACUUCAAGUCCUGGAGGCCACUCCUGAGACCCGAGGC